UGAAAAAUAAAUUAUAAAACAUGGAUAUUUUUGACAUUAGUAAGUAAUUGACUUAAUUCAAAUUUCUCCAUUAAGUAAAAAGCUAAAAAAAUUGACUUAUUUUAUUAAGUCAAAAUUAUCUAAAAAGUCUCAUUAAGUUAUAAAAACAAACACCUCUAAUUAACUUAAUUAAUUAAGUUAAGUCACUUUAAGUCAUUAA
rnacentral:lncRNA from 1 species